rnacentral:rRNA from 1 species
UACGAAGGGGGCUAGCGUUGCUCGGAAUCACUGGGCGUAAAGGGUGCGUAGGCGGGUCUUUAAGUCAGGGGUGAAAUCCUGGAGCUCAACUCCAGAACUGCCUUUGAUACUGAGGAUCUUGAGUUCGGGAGAGGUGAGUGGAAUUUCCGGUGUAGCGGUGAAAUGCGUAGAUAUCGGAAGGAACACCUGUGGCGAAAGCGGCUCACUGGACCAUAACUGACGCUGAUGCACGAAAGCUAGGGGAGCAAACAG